GUUGGUUAUGCCUGCAACCCUCUUGAGGAGUUCUUAGAGGCAGAUAGAAGCUAAGAUGAGGACAAAUCUGCAUGGUAUAAUACUCUUUAUUUUUUUAACUAUUACUCAUUUCUUAGUACUAUCUACUCACAUUCUUGAAUAGAUUUACAUUAGGUUCAAAGGAAUGAGAACAGGAUUAUUGUUAAAUUUCAGGUUUGUUUUCUAUUUCCUUUGGUAAUUACAUAGCUUCUUUAGUGGAACUCAUUUAGUAUGUUGUGUUAUUUUUGUAAUUGGCUAUGGUAUAAUGUGAUUCAAUGAAUUUACAAAAAGCUGUGCUCUUUAUAUCUGAAGAUGUAUUAGAUUUUUUUUUUUUUUUUUUUUUUUUUUUUUUUUGUGUUUUCGGCGGAAGAAGAUGUAUUAGAUUUUAGCAUUUAUAUUCAAAAUCCCUUGAGGAAUUCUUAUAGAGAUUGACAAGAAUCUAUUAACACAGUAGUAGAAGGUAUUUCUGAUAAUAAGUGUAAGUCUUGCCCAGUAUUUUGAUAUUGUGAUCUUUCUUCUUUCUCUCUUAAUCUCUUUUGACACUUUGGUGUCUCAAGCCAAUAGAUCAGGUGUGUUUCUCUCUUUAAUUUGAUGAUGUUGUGUGGAAAACAAUGUACAGUGCACAUGUCUUUUUGGUUCGAUUACUUUGAAACUAACUGUACCUUUCCUUUUAGCUUCAGAGAAAGUGGACAUUGUUGCUGAAAACAAGGUAAGUUAAUUGGUUUUAGUCCUAAAUUGUUAUUAUUUUAGGUUGUACUUAAUCAUUUUUUUGUUUUUUUUUUUUUUUUUUUUUUGGUUAGAACUUUGAUUAGGACUAUUGUUGAAGAUAGUCAUCUAGUGUAUUUUUUUUUCCAGUUAUUUUUCUUUUGUUUGCUAUUGACAUCUAGAGUUUUCAUUAGUUAUAUGAUUAUUAUAUAAGUUCAGAAUUAUGUCCAUACCUUCUUCCAUUCUUAACUUGUUUCUUUCCUGAAUCUUUUUUUUUUUAAUCUGGCUUCUUUAAAUUGUCACUACUAAUUUCAAUUUUUCCAUGGCAUGCUUUCACGUGAUUUUCUAGCAUGAAAUUUUUAUGAGACCAUGGAACUAUGCUAGUUUCAAAGAGCAGGGCGCACUUAUGAAAUGGAAUAGGUAGCUGAAACAAAGAAUUAUGAUUUGGUAAUUGCUAAUAUAAUUUUGAAUCCUCUCUUGGAAUUGGCAAAUCAUAUUGUUUCUUAUGCUAAACUUGGAGCAGCUGUUGGCUUGUCUAGUAUUCUAUCUGAGCAGGUAUGAUCCAUAAUGGCUAGAUAUAGUCAGUUUCAGUCUUUAUGUCUAUUCAAAUAUUUUCUUGCAAUUUAGAGUUAAGGGAAAAGAAAGCUAGCUCUAAGAAAAUCUUUAGCAGCGCAUCUCUCUGUCUCUCUCUCUUUUCAAGUGCACUGCUCCAAACUUCAAAUUCCUGUUAGCCAUUAUCAAAUAUCUGAUAACUUGUAUGUCAAUGACCUGAGCAACAAAGGCCUGUUCAGCCUCUUACCUAAGAGCUUUCUUGAACUAGCACCGAUUCUUGGUCUCAUGAAUUAGCACCAAUUUUUGAACUAAUAAGCCGCUAAUAAAGAGCAGAAUGGGCAGACUGUUUCUUGUUCUUUGAAUUCCAACGACGGUGUCAGUCAAUUAUCAUCCAUGCAAAAGGCUUGGAAUUCUCAAUAUAAGUGGAAAUGGAUAAGAAAAAUAGUAGAAAAUUCUUGAGGUUUGACUAAUUAUACACUUUGUCCUCCCUACACUCAUUGUUUCCUAUAUUUUCAGGAGCUGCUAAUGUCCUUUUAAAGGGUAAAAUGCAAAUCAGCUCAUUAUAUCUUAUUCUGAAUUUAGUCCUUGAAGUUCCAAGAUGCUUAUGAUCCUUAUUUAGUUUUUUAUUAGCGAUAUUCUUUGAAAUUGUUGCAUGUGGGAUGUCUGUUAAGUCAUCUCUGCAAGGGGGUUAUACACAACCCAGGUGCAGUCAAAACAAGGAAACAAAUGCGAUAAACUGCUGAAAAAUUGAAGCCACUGAUGAAGAGCAUCCAAAGCUCAAGAAGUAGAAAUGCUUACACACUUGUACUCAAAUCUAUUUAAACUCUUCUUCCCUUGUUUGUCAAGUAGAAAUCAGAAAACGAUCAUCUUUUAGCUGCAGGUUUUUUAUGUACAUGUAGAAGGUUGGUUAUUUACUUGUUAAAAAGCAAGCUGUGGACUCUUAUUUUAA